GACAGAGGCCUCAAGCGUUAGGCGGAAUCACUGGGCUUAAAGCGUGUGUAGGCGGAUCGUUAAGUGUCUUGUGAAAUCCCACGGCUCACCCGUGGAACGGCUGGGCAUACUGGCGAUCUUGGGCCAACUAGGGCAACUGGAACAAGCGGUGGAGCGGUGAAAUGCGUAGAUAUCGCUUGGAACGCCGAAGGUGAAAACAGGUUGCUGGGGUUGUGCCGACGCUGAGACACGAAAGCCAGGGGAGCAAAACGGGG
rnacentral:rRNA from 1 species